rnacentral:rRNA from 1 species
AGAGUUUGAUCAUGGCUCAGAACGAACGCUGGCGGCGCGUUUUAAGCAUGCAAGUCGAAGGAGAAUCAAGUGCUUGCACUUGAGGGAACUGGCGAACGGGUGAGUAACACGUAAGAAUCUGCCCUGAGGCGGGGGAUAGCUCAUGGAAACAUGGGGUAAUACCGCAUAAUGUCUGUAAGAAGAAAGCUGCUUUUGCAGCGCCUUAGGAUGAGCUUGCGGUCCAUUAGCUAGUUGGUAGGGUAAAGGCCUACCAAGGCGACGAUGGAUAGCCGGCCUGAGAGGGUGAACGGCCACAUUGGGACUGAGACACGGCCCAGACUCCUACGGGAGGCAGCAGCUAAGAAUAUUCCGCAAUGGGAGAGAUCCUGACGGAGCGACGCCGCGUGAACGAUGAAGGCAGAAAUGUUGUAAAGUUCUUUUAUACGGGAAGAAUAAGAUUAGGAGUGGAAAGCCUGGUUGAUGACGGUACCGUAUGAAUAAGCCCCGGCUAACUACGUGCCAGCAGCCGCGGUAAUACGUAGGGGGCAAGCGUUGUUCGGAUUUAUUGGGCGUAAAGGGCAUGUAGGCUGUUUUGCAAGUGUGGAUUUAAAGACAGGAGCUUAACUCCGCGUAUGGUCUGCAAACUGCAAGACUUGAGUUCAGGAUGGGAGACUGGAAUUCCGCGUGUAGGGGUGAAAUCUGUAGAGAUGCGGAAGAAUACCGGUGGCGAAGGCGAGUCUCUGGCCUGAUACUGACGCUGAGAUGCGAAAGCGUGGGGAGCGAACAGGAUUAGAUACCCUAGUAGUCC